rnacentral:rRNA from 1 species
GACGAACGCUGGCGGCGUGCCUAAUACAUGCAAGUCGAACGCACUCUCGUUUAGAUUGAAGGAGCUUGCUCCUGAUUGAUAAACAUUUGAGUGAGUGGCGGACGGGUGAGUAACACGUGGGUAACCUGCCCUAAAGUGGGGGAUAACAUUUGGAAACAGAUGCUAAUACCGCAUAAAACCUAAACACCGCAUGGUGUAGGGUUGAAAGAUGGUUUCGGCUAAUCACUUUAGGAUGGACCCGCGGUGCAUUAGUUAGUUGGUGAGGUAAAGGCUCGCCAAAGACCGUGAUGCAUAGCCGACCUGAGAGGGUAAUCGG